rnacentral:lncRNA from 1 species
GUUGCACGCAAUGGUCAACUAUGUCCGCUCAACUAUACGAAGUAGAAUGAAAUGCUUCCUUUAUAUAAAGUUGAGUUUUUUAGACUUAUACAGGUAAUGAAUUGAAUUUGUUCUUGUUAAUUUGAUAUCUUCUAUAUGUUAAUUUGCUUACUAUCAUAAAUUUAAUUUUUGAUUUAAUAUUAUUAUAAUAUUCUGUAUCUUGGUGUAGAGUAAGUUUGUACUCCCCCCAGAGAGCCAUGAUUGGGUGCUAAAGUUCCUCAACCGCAAAUGAUAUAUAUACUACGUACGCACCAUUAUGCAGAGGAAAAAAUAAUGCACUUACAUUGAGAUGUCAACAUAUCUUUUGCAUGAAGCACUGCCAGCAGUGCUAAUUAAAGAUGAAUAGGCAUCUUGAGCAGUAAAUUGGGCAAAAACAUCACAAAGUUUGGAAAAUUGAUAGUAAAGAACACAUGAUAGCACUAAGAAGCAAUUUCCUCACCAUGUUACAUGAUAAACAUAUAAGG